GAGAGAGAGAGAGAGAGAGAGAGAGAAAUACUUAGAGAACAAAACCAUACACAUAAGAGCAACAACAACAACAGCAACAACAACAACAACAACAACAACAACAAUGAUCACAAGAAAGCAAGCGGGGAGGAAAGAGGAAGGGGGAGAGAAAGAGUGUGACCUGCUCUCUCCAACUUACACCUUGGAAGAGGACGUGAACAUCGUGGACAUGAUGGGCAGGUACCUUCCCUUCGCCAACGAGGAGGGGGAAGCACAAGAAGAACAAGAGGAAGAAGAGGAAGACGAAGAGGAAGAGGAGGAGGAGGAGGAAGAAAAGGAGAAGGACCUAGUAAUAAUUUUGAGAGAAAUGAUUAUAAUUCUAAUUUAUCACCACAAACAUCAAGUCUGCUGCUACACCCGUACACAUACAGCCAAUAUGGACCGUCUUACCAACAACAACAACAACAACAACAACAACCAGAAGAGACUAGUGACCCCUUAUACUAUGACAACAACCUCUACCCACAACAACCACAACAACCACAACUACAACAACCGGGAGAUGCUUGUGACCACUAUUACUACAGCAAGCAUCCUCAAGAACAACAACAACAACAGCUGGAAGACAUGUACGACCACAGUGACUACUACUACCACCACCACCACCACCACCACCACUACUCCAAAGAACAACAACAACAACAACAACAACAAUCAUACAACUACGACGGUUAUGAAUGUUACUAUGAACAACAACAACAACAACAACAACAACAAGAACAACAACAACAACAACAACAACAACAACAACAACAAUCAGGAUAUAUAACAGCUGACAAUGAAACAGGUGAG